rnacentral:rRNA from 1 species
GAAGCGAAACCGCGAGGUGGAGCAAAACCCAAAAAAGUAAGUCCCAGUUCGGAUUGAAGGCUGAAAUUCGCCUUCAUGAAGCCGGAAUUGCUAGUAAUGGCAGGUCAGCAUACUGCCGUGAAUACGUUCCCGGGCCUUGUACACACCGCCCGUCACACCAUGAGAGUUGGGAAUACCCGAAGCCUGUGAGCUAACUUUUAGAGGCAGCAGUCGAAGGUAGAAUCAAUGAUUGGGGUGAAGUCGUAACAAGGUACC